CCUACGGGUGGCAGCAGUGGGGAAUAUUGGGCAAUGGAGGAAACUCUGACCCAGCAACGCCGCGUGAAUGAUGACGGUCUUCUGAUUUUAAAAUUCUUUUCUAAGGGAAGUAGAAAGUGACGGUACCUUAGGAAUAAGCCUCGGCUAACUACGUGCCAGCAGCCGCGGUAAUACGUAGGAGGCAAGCGUUAUCCGGAGUGACUGGGCGUAAAGGGUGCGUAGGUGGUUGGAUAAGUUGGUAGCGUAACUCCGAGGCUCAACCUCGGCACUACUACCAAAACUGUCGGACUUGAGUGCAGGAGGGGCAACUGGAAUGCCUAGUGUAGCGGUGGAAUGCGUAGAUAUGAGGAAGAACACCAGUGGCGAAGGCGAGUUGCUGGACUGUAACUGACACUGAGGCACGAAAGCGUGGGGAGCAAACAGGAUUAGAUACCCUUGUAGUC
rnacentral:rRNA from 1 species